rnacentral:lncRNA from 1 species
UUGUCCUUGAUAGAAACUAUCCUAGAACUACACAUCCAUAUUGUUCAGUUACUGGAACAGUAACGUGUGUCCACCAAAACAACUGAUGAUUACAGAUUUUUCAGAAACUGAUCCCUGACCACUUGUCAAUCCUGACCGAACCAUUUCCUAAACUUUGGAAAGCAACCUGUAGAAAAAUAUAAUAAAUUAUGACUGAAAAACUCCAAUAAAAACCCAAUCUUCUUCCUCUCGUCAAUAGUCAAACCAAACUCUCAAGUUGUCUCUUUCUCACACCAUACUUGCUCAAAAGAUCCCUCAUCACCACACGAGAAAAGUCUAAUUUUCUUCUCUCUUUAGACACAAGUUCUCCCAGCAACAAAGAGCACCCACUGCCCACACUCUUCCAGAAAACUUUUAGAUAG